UGNCCUCAGAUCAGGGAGGAUC
rnacentral:rRNA from 1 species